CCUGUCCGGACUGCAGAAAAAAGCGGAAGCGCGCUCUUUGAAACUCGCCGUCGUAACGUCGAUGGACGCAGGCCACUUCCGGCGUAGCCAUGGCGGCUAACGCGACCACUAACCCGUCGCAGCUGCUGCCUCUAGUGAAAUCACACCAGAAGGAAGAAGGAUUACUAAAUUAGAUCAGAUUUUGCUAAAUGGCAAUAAUAUAACAAUGCUGGUUCCUGGAGGAGAAGGCCCUGAAGUAUGAAUGGAUUUCCUUGACUUAUGCUGGAUUCUGUUUUGUCUUAUAAGGACAACAAAAUAGAAAAUUUUUUUUUAACCUUUUAAUGUUUGGAUUCUAUGAAGCUAAGUUUCCCGUUAAAGGGAAAUGCUUUGAAGAUGCAUUGUAAAUGCCCAUUUUUUAAGUUAAUCAUGAUUGUCUUGGAGAAAGAAGAACAGUUCGUUCUUUGAAGACUAAAAUAAAGGUGUUUUUGGUUAACUGUCAAUUUGUUUAUUAUACUGCAAUAUCCAGUGGAACAAAGCUUGUAGUUAUUUUGUCGCUUGCUUUCCUGUCAUUUUAC
rnacentral:lncRNA from 1 species